UAGGUUUUGCAAUGUAUGUGUGUAUGGCAUAUUGGCCUUCUCAGGAGUUGCUUUCUGGAUUUGUUCGCUGCUCUAUGGAUCUAUUAUUUCAAGAAAUGAUGAUAUACGGCUAGGUGCAUAUGUAAUGGAUAUUCUGGCCCGGAUCCAUUAUUCAUGCCACACUGGGGUGAGCUUCUCUCGAUCUUUCAGCGUAAUUGUGGUCUCUCUCUCACUGUUGCCAUAUGCUAUGGUUUUUAGUUUUGAUGGACUGAUUACUGAAUCUGGCUCCGAAGCAUAUAGAAUGUAAACUGAGUUUUGAAAGGUAUUCUUGUGAAUAGGUGAAGUAGAAAAUUGGGGUGAACCGAUGGAUGGCUUUAGUUUGUCUGUGUUUUCAUUCCGAUGUAAUGUAUUUAUCGACAGCUUCUUGGCCAAUACAUUUCCAAAUUAAUACAUUAAGUGGUUUUAUUGUUUACAGGGAACCUUGAUUCUUUUCCUUGGCCCAAUUGUAUUGUGCUUGCUUAGCUGAUCAUAGCUCUGCAAAACUAGGCCAAAUAUAGUUUGAUUUACUGGAAAACUCGCAUUGAAAUUAGAUAAUGGUUCCUUGCACACCACUUUGUUUUCUCCGGAUGUCAUAUAAUAAUAAUAGCUACACAGUUCAACAUGAUGCCAUAUAGAUCUUGAUAAAAUCAAUCUCCGGAAGAAUUUUUUUCUCUACAGAAAUCUAAAGGCAUUAUAUAAGCAUGUGUUAUUCUAAGUUUAACCAGAGAUGAACCUUUUCUAUUUGGAACAAGUAGCGAUGUUCAUGUAGUAGUGAUCAAGAUAAAAGUUUAUUCCUCUUUGUUUCAAGGGUGUGGUAACCUUUUCAUUCUAAGAGUUUUAUGUGCAGAUGCUCUUAGCCAUCAUUCUACUGUGCAUAUAAGAACAGGUUGUGGGUGAGGUUAUAAUGCCUGUGAGGUCAUAUAGAAGUUCUGUUGUCUAUUAAUUGAUCUGCUUGCUAUUUUAGUGUUCCUUAUCCGAGGUACUCAUCAUGUUGGGUAUACUCCUAAUCUGAUUUGCUAUUUGAUCAUGGUGUGCAUUGUUUGAUCAACCCUAUUAGUCUGAACAUCCGACACUACGUUGUUUGGAUGAUGGCACUUUAAUUUCCAGAAACUCGGUCUCCUAUUGUUCUCAUCGUGAUCUUUUUUAAUAUCUUGAUAUAAUAUUUGUUUCUUAUAUAUAUCUUAGGGUAGAGCAAAGUCUUUGUUUGAACCCUUCUACUCUAUCGAAAGGUUGAUUCCUAUUUGGUUGUUCAAUGGUAUUAACUAAUUAAGCUCCUUAACAGGGAUAAGUUAAUUAUAACUUCAUGUUUCUAUUUCCUUUGUCCCGUGCCAAGACACACCAAUUGUGAUAUAUUCGCUGAAGUUGGAGCAAGCAUAUACUAUUAUGAAUAUAUACUGAGCGAACACAUAGUGUGAUCUUUUCAGCUCAAGAGCUCUUACCAGACCAAUAUCUUUAUGCGCUAGACAUUGUCUACUGACAGUAUGUGAACAUAGUGAGGAUUGCUACCGGUGCAUAGC